rnacentral:rRNA from 1 species
UGCAGUCGAACGAUGAUCUCCAGCUUGCUGGGGGGAUUAGUGGCGAACGGGUGAGUAACACGUGAGUAACCUGCCCUUAACUCUGGGAUAAGCCUGGGAAACUGGGUCUAAUACCGGAUAUGACUCCUCAUCGCAUGGUGGGGGGUGGAAAGCUUUUGUGGUUUUGGAUGGACUCGCGGCCUAUCAGCUUGUUGGUGAGGUAAUGGCUCACCAAGGCGACGACGGGUAGCCGGCCUGAGAGGGUGACCGGCCACACUGGGACUGAGACACGGCCCAGACUCCUACGGGAGGCAGCAGUGGGGAAUAUUGCACAAUGGGCGCAAGCCUGAUGCAGCGACGCCGCGUGAGGGAUGACGGCCUUCGGGUUGUAAACCUCUUUCAGUAGGGAAGAAGCGAAAGUGACGGUACCUGCAGAAGAAGCGCCGGCUAACUACGUGCCAGCAGCCGCGGUAAUACGUAGGGCGCAAGCGUUAUCCGGAAUUAUUGGGCGUAAAGAGCUCGUAGGCGGUUUGUCGCGUCUGCCGUGAAAGUCCGGGGCUCAACUCCGGAUCUGCGGUGGGUACGGGCAGACUAGAGUGAUGUAGGGGAGACUGGAAUUCCUGGUGUAGCGGUGAAAUGCGCAGAUAUCAGGAGGAACACCGAUGGCGAAGGCAGGUCUCUGGGCAUUAACUGACGCUGAGGAGCGAAAGCAUGGGGAGCGAACAGGAUUAGAUACCCUGGUAGUCCAUGCCGUAAACGUUGGGCACUAGGUGUGGGGGACAUUCCACGUUUUCCGCGCCGUAGCUAACGCAUUAAGUGCCCCGCCUGGGGAGUACGGCCGCAAGGCUAAAACUCAAAGGAAUUGAC